AGCCGCGCUGCUGCAAGGCGGCUGUGGUGAAGAGGAUUGUGGAGCUCAUCGAGGAGCUUCCCGAUGACUCGUCACCCAGCGCCGUCCUCGCCCACUCCCUGGCUGCAGUGGGCAACCUCUGCACCAUGAAACCUGCCCUGGAGCCAGCCCUAGAGACCCACCUCUUGCGAGCUGCCCUUCACUCCGUCUUCACCCUGGGCACGGAGAAGGACACCACCGACAUCCAGGUACCUCCUCCUCCUCCAUCCUCUUACUUUUCCAGAGUGGUCCUUGGUCCCUGCUCCCUUGAUUCGCUGGAGCUCCAGAUUUAGGGGUGGGGUAGCGGAGAUGGAACAAGCUGCAGGGUUGGAUCCUUCCCUCCAGCAGGGAAGAGAUUACCCCUCCCUGGGGGAUUUCUUUCUUUCUUUCUUUCUUUCUUUCUUUCUUUCUUUCUUUCUUUCUUUCUUUCUUUCUUUCUUUCUUUCUUCCGUAAGCCAUGUUUUGCCCAGAAGCCCAGCUUCCAUGCAUAGCAACUUGGCUGUUUCCUACUAUUCUGCCAACAAGGCCCUCUGCAGAGACCUGCUAAGCUCAUGGAUCAAAGGUCCAGGGGUCAUCAGUUCUUGCGAAUUGCCUGCAGUGGGAUGCGAAGGAGAAAGGCCAGGAGAUGUGUUUGGGAGUCUCCCCAGUGCUUCCCAGAGACCCCUCUUCCCAUCCUGUGGCAGGUGUAGGCCCAGGUUCCCUAACUCUGACCCAUGCUUUGCAGGCUCUGCACAAAGUCAUCUCAGAGGUCCUGGAUGCCAUGCUGGGGAACCUGCUGGCAGAGUCCCCAGACACAGACAGGCUCCACUUCAUCUUGGAGGUCAGCCCCAUUUGACCGUAACUCUUUGGGGGACUGGUAAGGAGAGACUGGAAGAUCCAUUUUCUACUCUGUCCUCCUAGCUGGGUCCCCAGUGGGCCGUCCUUGGUUGGGGAGGUCAGUGCAAUGCAGUGUCAGGUCCUUCCUUCUUGAGGGACAGCGGAAGGAGCUGGGACUACAAGCCAGAACUCUGCCUGGUUCUGCUGAGCACAAACCACAGGGCUCCUGGCUGUCUUGGGGAGUGAGAGUCUGAAAACCCACCCUUCCCCGACCCCUCCAACACACACAU